rnacentral:rRNA from 1 species
AAGGUGUAGCAAUACACUUGUAAAGCGGCGAACGGGUGAGGAAUACAUGGGUAACCUACCCUCGAGUGGGGAAUAACUAGCCGAAAGGUUAGCUAAUACCGCAUACGACUCCUGGUCUGCGGAUCGGGAGGGAAAGCGAUACCGUGGGUAUCGCGCUCUUGGAUGGGCUCAUGUCCUAUCAGCUUGUUGGUGAGGUAACGGCUCACCAAGGCUUCGACGGGUAGCUGGUCUGAGAGGACGAUCAGCCACACUGGCACUGCGACACGGGCCAGACUCCUACGGGAGGCAGCAGUAAGGAAUAUUGCGCAAUGGGCGACAGCCUGACGCAGCGACGCCGCGUGGGGGAUGAAGGUCUUCGGAUUGUAAACCCCUUUCGGCAGGGAAGAUGGAACGGGUAACCGUUCGGACGGUACCUGCAGAAGCAGCCACGGCUAACUUCGUGCCAGCAGCCGCGGUAAUACGAAGGUGGCAAGCGUUGUUCGGAUUUACUGGGCGUACAGGGAGCGUAGGCGGUUGGGUAAGCCCUCCGUGAAAUCUCCGGGCCUAACCCGGAAAGUGCGGAGGGGACUGCUCGGCUAGAGGAUGGGAGAGGAGCGCGGAAUUCCCGGUGUAGCGGUGAAAUGCGUAGAGAUCGGGAGGAAGGCCGGUGGCGAAGGCGGCGCUCUGGAACAUUUCUGACGCUGAGGCUCGAAAGCGUGGGGAGCAAACAGGAUUAGAUACCCUGGCAGUCC